rnacentral:rRNA from 1 species
AACGAACGUUAGCGGCGCGCCUAACACAUGCAAGUCGCACGAGAAAGGGCUUCGGCCCCGGUAAAGUGGCGCACGGGUGAGUAACACGUGGGUAACCUGCCCUCGAGCGGGGGAUAACAUCCCGAAAGGAGUGCUAAUACCGCAUAAGACCACGACCUCGAAAGAGGAUGGGGUCAAAGCUGGCCUCUAUACAUAAGCUAGCACUUGAGGAUGGGCCCGCGGCGCAUCAGGUAGUUGGUGAGGUAACGGCUCACCAAGCCGAAGACGCGUAGCUGGUCUGAGAGGAUGAUCAGCCACACUGGAACUGAGACACGGUCCAGACUCCUACGGGAGGCAGCAGUGGGGAAUCUUGCGCAAUGGACGAAAGUCUGACGCAGCGACGCCGCGUGAGUGAUGAA